UUUCAGUGAGAAACCACCAAUGG
rnacentral:snRNA from 1 species